rnacentral:lncRNA from 1 species
CCCAAAACUGCUUACCCAGAAAGAAGGCUCCGUGUGGCAAGAAUGGAAUUUGGUGAUGCAGGCAUUUUUGUUUUCAGUAGAUGACAAAUCGCCAAGUCCAGGAGUUCAGGAUGGAGAAGGCAAAUCAGAAUCAGUCUGUUGUGGUUUUCUUCCACCUCCUGGAGUUCAGAGGACAUGUUCCAGCAAUGCUUAUACUUAUGUUGGGCAUGCCCAGGCUGGCCACACUUCUGCAGCUCUGCAAGAUGAAGCCGUUUAGAAGGAAAACACCCCAGAGUCAACAGAUAAAAUACAGAACAUGGAUGAAAUUUAUAAGAUCGCCUCCACAGAGAGGAUCCAGCAGUUGGAAAAAGAACUAGAGGUUCAGUUGGCUGAACUUAAAGCAGAAAUACAAGAACAUGGAGCUCUUAAGAGAUCACCCCAUUGGCCUUACAGGUAAAAAGUAAUGUCUUACCAAAACAAACUGGAAAAUGACUCCUAAGUGUAAUCAUUGUGCCAUCAUUAGGCAUAGACAGGAGGUCUGUGGCAUGCCGUAGAAACAAGAACAUUGGUCUUGAAAACAAAAGACCUCAGGUUCAAGUUCCAGCUCAAAGCAAGGCAAGACAAGGCAACAAGUAUUUAUCAGGCAUUCUUUAAGAGCCUGGUACUCUGCUUAACAGCUGGGGAUGCCUCGCUACUCUUAAGGACUUUAUAUUCUAAAGAGGGAAGACAAUAUCCAAAAGGGAGCUGAAAAGGGAGGUGGGAGGUAGGUACCUGUGCCCCAGUAGAAUCCUGCGAGUCAAAAACAGACCUGAGAUAGGAAUGAAGGAUGACUGGCCUGGACCUGUUCCCAAAAUGGAAGCCCCAGAAGGAAGUCACCAGUGGGACAAGGGUGUUGGAGUGGUCAAAGGAUGGUCCAUGGUGAGAAGGUCCCAGGUACUGAGGGAAAUUCUAGGGUAAGAAUGUCAUGGUGACAAAGUUGGGGAAUCAGAAGCCAAGCUGGGAGGAGAAUGAAGCAUGGCUGGCCUGGGACCAUCUCCAACUCAUUCUAGUGUAUAUGGUGUAGUGGAAAGAGUACUGGAUCUGGAAUGAUAAAACCUGGGUUCAAAUCCCACCUCUACUACUUAAUGCCCUGUGUGGUCUUGGACAAACCAUCUCCCUGUGAUGGUCCUCAGUUGCCUCACGUGCCAAAUGAAAGAGAGUAGCUGAUUCUUUCCAGUUCUAAAUCUAUGAUCUACUAGAAGUCAUGUAACAUUUCCGAUUCCGUGACUUAAUCUGUAAAAUAAGGAUGUUCAUACUUCUACUACUGGCCUCACAGGGUUGCUGGGAAGAUCAAAUGAGAUAAUGAUUUGUAACCAUGAAGUGUUAUUUAAAUGUAAGCUGCAAUGAUUGUGCUCUUUGAGAAAAGUUUAUUUUCUCCCAAAGUAUUUUAAUUUGAUUUGAUUCUGAUUCUCAUAAUAAGUUUGAAAAGCAUGAACAAAAAAGAAUUUUUCAGCAAGGUAGUUUGUCACUAAUUUUUUUAUAGAGUGAGUUACGCUUAAGGAAACAGGAUAGCAAUAGAUAACCUUUAUAUAUGCUUUAAGGUUUUCAAGGCACUUUAUAUAAAUAAUCUCAUUUGAUCCUCACAACUCUGAGAGGUAGGGGCUACAAUUUAUCCUCACAAAGAGCUUGUCAGCUGCGGUCGGAAUAUAUUGCUACACCAGGGGCUCAUUCCAGCACUACUUGCUAUCUAUUACAGUAUCUGUUAACACUCUUGGUUUACAUAAUCUUUCUACAGCUCUAUCAGGUUACCAAAGGACGUUUCUUACUUUAGGAAAGAGAGGGAACUGGCAUUGAGGAAAAGCUUACAGGUAAGUGAGAAGAUGAAGAACAUUGCUAUUGAAAGCUACUUAUUAAAAAUUGUUGGCAAAAGUUCCCUGUGCCUGGGGACACAGGAAUACAGGGGGCAGGAGGGGGCAGUGAAUGUGAGCUGAGCAGGUAACUUUACCAAAACUUGCACCUGAGAGCUCUUCACAGACCAUCCUCCCCCAAACUCGAAUACAUCAGUGUCUCAGAUAAAGAGGAGAUAACUUCUCCACCAUUUUCUCCUAAUUCUACUCCCUUCUGCAGCCAGCCAUGUUGGUCACAGAGGCACAAUUUACAGCCUGUUUCUCAUGGAAGAGGAAGAUGUUAUCUACCUUUCCUUGACAGGACAUAAUCAUACCAUGUGCUAGGGUAUGACGUUUGAAAGGACAAAUAACAAUGAGAGAUACCUGUAUGAUAUUAUAUUGUAAAAUGAAUGUUAUUCAAAGUAUCUGCUUCUAAGCUAAUGCAAUUUAUUCAUUAUUCCAAUAAUGCUUUGAGUCCUCUAUAAUUUAUUAUAAUUAUACUUUUUUUUCUUUUUAACACCAAAAAAGGCAUUAAAAAUAAACAUUUCAAAAGUAAAAAAAGAGAGCCUUCG